rnacentral:rRNA from 1 species
GACGAACGCUGGCGGCGUGCCUAAUACAUGCAAGUCGAACGCAGUGGGGACGGGUGAGUAACACUUGGGUAACCUCCCAUCAGAGGGGCUAACGCUUGGAAACAUGUGCUAAACCGAUACUGAUGGAUGGACCCGCGGUGCAUUAGCUAGUUGGUGAGGUAACGGCUCACCAAGGCCACGAUGCAGAGACGGGCUGAGAGGUUGAUCGGCCGCACUGGGACUUAGAGACGGCCCAGAGUCCCACGGGAGGAAGGAGUGGGGAAUAGGGGACAAUGGGCGAAAGCCUGAUGCAGCCAUGCCGCGUGUAUGAAGAAGGCCUUAGGGUUGUAAAGUACUUUCAGCGGUGAGGCGGUACCCGCAGAAGAAGCACCGGCUAACUACGUGCCAGCCGCCGCGGUAAUAC